UGGGGAAUCUUGGACAAUGGGGGCAACCCUGAUCCAGCGAUGCCGCGUGUGUGAAGAAGGCCUUCGGGUUGUAAAGCACUUUAGUUGGGGAAAAAGGUUACUGGUUUAAGAGAUAGGUAAUUUGAUGGUACCCAAAGAAUAAGCACCGGCUAACUCUGUGCCAGCAGCCGCGGUAAUACAGAGGGUGCGAGCGUUAAUCGGAAUGACUGGGCGUAAAGGGCGCGUAGGUGGGUUGAUAAGAGAGUUGUGAAAUCCCUGGGCUUAACCUAGGAAUGGCAACUGAGACUGUUGAUCUGGAGUACAGUAGAGGGUAGUGGAAUUUCCGGUGUAGCAGUGAAAUGCGUAGAUAUCGGAAGGAACAUCAGUGGCGAAGGCGGCUACCUGGACUGAUACUGACACUGAGGCGCGAGAGCGUGGGGAGCAAACA
rnacentral:rRNA from 1 species